UACGGAGGGUGCAAGCGUUAUCCGGAUUCAUUGGGUUUAAAGGGUGCGUAGGCGGUCUAAUAAGUCAGUGGUGAAAGCCUUCCGCUUAACGGGAGAACUGCCAUUGAUACUGUUAGACUUGAAUCUAGUUGAAGUGGGUGGAAUACAUCAUGUAGCGGUGAAAUGCAUAGAUAUGAUGUAGAACGCCGAUUGCGAAGGCAACUCACUAAAGUUAAGUAUUGGACGCUGAGGCACGAAAAGCGUGGGGGAGCGAACAGGAUUAGAUACCCGGUAC
rnacentral:rRNA from 1 species